UACGGAGGGUGCUAGCGUUGUUCGGAAUCACUGGGCGUAAAGGGCGUGUAGGCGGCCUGUUAAGUCUGAUGUGAAAUCCCCUCGCUCAACGAGGGAACUGCGUCGGAUACUGGCAGGCUUGAAUCCGGGAGAGGGAUGCGGAAUUCCAGGUGUAGCGGUGAAAUGCGUAGAUAUCUGGAGGAACACCGGUGGCGAAGGCGGCAUCCUGGACCGGCAUUGACGCUGAGGCGCGAAAGCCAGGGGAGCAAACGGG
rnacentral:rRNA from 1 species